UUCCACUCCUGAUUCGUUCUGGCGCCUCGUGGUCUCCUGGCUUCCCCAUUGGCCCAAUCCCUCACGCCCUGCCUAGCUCCAGUCCACGUCUUCGGCCUUCUUGUCUCCUAGACCGAGGUACCGGUGGCGGCGCCUUCGCACUACGGCCUCCAGUCUAUGCCUCCACCUCCAUGCUCCACUCCAUGGAUCCGACAACUGUGACCUCCCUGCGGUCAGCGGUCUACGCCCUCCAUGGAUUCACACCACAUCGUUCGCCCCUUGACAGCUCGUGAUCGUUGAUGGCUACUGUUCUAUAAGUGCAGGUCGCAGGCGCGGUACUACUAGCACUGCAGAGCUGGCGCUCCGGUUCAAGCACCAAGCCAAGCGCGUGUG
rnacentral:lncRNA from 7 species